rnacentral:lncRNA from 1 species
UCUUGUUAACAAAUCUAAACAGUCUGCAAAGAACCUGGGAUAUCAAACAGAUACAGACCCUGCCUUCAGGCUCCCCAAAGGAGAGACAGACACAUACACAGGUAAGUACAGAGUGUGGUUCCUGCAGUAAGAGGCUAGCAUUGUCACUCCAGAGAGAAAAGCACGUAACGGGACCGGUGAACUCUGCUGUGCUGGGGAAAGGCAUUGUUUGUCUCAAGGAAAGGUCAUAGGCGAGGAAGCAUGUGAGGUGUUUUGGUGUUUCAGAGGCAUCCUGGAGUAGGAGAGGGCUUG